GUGGGUAGUUUGACUGGGGCGGUCUCCUCCUAAAGAGUAACGGAGGAGCACGAAGGUUGGCUAAUCCUGGUCGGACAUCAGGAGGUUAGUGCAAUGGCAUAAGCCAGCUUGACUGCGAGCGUGACGGCGCGAGCAGGUGCGAAAGCAGGUCAUAGUGAUCCGGUGGUUCUGAAUGGAAGGGCCAUCGCUCAACGGAUAAAAGGUACUCCGGGGAUAACAGGCUGAUACCGCCCAAGAGUUCAUAUCGACGGCGGUGUUUGGCACCUCGAUGUCGGCUCAUCACAUCCUGGGGCUGAAGUAGGUCCCAAGGGUAUGGCUGUUCGCCAUUUAAAGUGGUACGCGAGCUGGGUUUAGAACGUCGUGAGACAGUUCGGUCCCUAUCUGCCGUGGGCGCUGGAGAACUGAGGGGGGCUGCUCCUAGUACGAGAGGACCGGAGUGGACGCAUCACUGGUGUUCGGGUUGUCAUGCCAAUGGCACUGCCCGGUAGCUAAAUGCGGAAGAGAUAAGUGCUGAAAGCAUCUAAGCACGAAACUUGCCCCGAGAUGAGUUCUCCCUGACUCCUUGAGAGUCCUGAAGGAACGUUGAAGACGACGACGUUGAUAGGCCGGGUGUGUAAGCGCAGCGAUGCGUUGAGCUAACCGGUACUAAUGAACCGUGAGG
rnacentral:rRNA from 1 species